CAGACGGUUGCGCACUCAGGUGUGGAAAGUCCGAGCAGCACAGAGCAGGAUAACGGCUAACGGCCGCCGGGGGUGACCCUCGGGACAGUGCAACAGAAAUAAACCGCCACUUUUUUGUGGUAAGGAUGGAAAGGCGAGGUAAGAGCUCACCGAGAGGGUGGUAACAUCCUCUGCCAUGUAAACCCUAUCCGCUGCAACAUCGACAGGAGGGACGGUUGCUCGCCGCAUAACUCCGAAGGAUGGCUUGAGCACGGUGGUAACAUCGUGUCGAGAUAGAUAAUCGUCCAAGACAGAACUCGGCUUACAGAC
rnacentral:RNase_P_RNA from 1 species